rnacentral:rRNA from 1 species
CCUACGGGAGGCAGCAGUGGGGAAUAUUGCGCAAUGGGCGAAAGCCUGACGCAGCGACGCCGCGUGAGGGAUGAAGGUCUUCGGAUCGUAAACCUCUGUCAGCAGGGAAGAACGGUCACUGUGCUAAUCAGCCGUGAAUUUACGGUACCUGCAAAGGAAGCACCGUCUAACUCCGUGCCAGCAGCCGCGGUAAUACGGAGGGUGCGAGCGUUAAUCGGAAUUACUGGGCGUAAAGCGCUCGUAGGCGGUAUGUCAAGUCAAGGGUGAACUCCCCGAGCUCAACCUGGGAACUGCCUUGGAAACUGGCAAGCUGGAGUGUGUGAGAGGCUAGGGGAAUUCCAGGUGUAGCAGUGAAAUGCGUAGAUAUCUGGAGGAACAUCAGUGGCGAAGGCGACUAUCUGGCACAUAACUGACGCUGAGGAGCGAAAGCGUGGGUAGCAAACAGGAUUAGAUACCCCAGUAGUC